CCUACGGGUGGCAGCAGUGAGGAAUAUUGGUCAAUGGACGAGAGUCUGAACCAGCCAAGUAGCGUGAAGGAUGACUGCCCUAUGGGUUGUAAACUUCUUUUAUAAAGGAAUAAAACGAGGCACGUGUGCCUUUUUGCAUGUACUUUAUGAAUAAGGAUCGGCUAACUCCGUGCCAGCAGCCGCGGUAAUACGGAGGAUCCGAGCGUUAUCCGGAUUUAUUGGGUUUAAAGGGAGCGUAGAUGGGUUGUUAAGUCAGUUGUGAAAGUUUGCGGCUCAACCGUAAAAUUGCAAUUGAUACUGGCAGUCGUGAGUACAGUUGAGGUAGGCGGAAUUCGUGGUGUAGCGGUGAAAUGCUUAGAUAUCACGAAGAACCCCGAUUGCGAAGGCAGCUUACUAACCUGUGACUGACGUUGAUGCUCGAAAGUGUGGGUAUCAAACAGGAUUAGAUACCCCAGUAGUC
rnacentral:rRNA from 1 species